UUGGUUAAGUUAGAAAGGGCGCACGGUGGAUGCCUUGGCACUAGGAGCCGAAGAAGGACGGGACUAACACCGAUAUGCUUUGGGGAGCUGUACGUAAGCGUUGAUCCAGAGAUUUCCGAAUGGGGGAACCCACUAUCUUUAGUCGGAUAGUAUCCUUACGUGAAUACAUAGCGUGAGGAAGGCAGACCCAGGGAACUGAAACAUCUAAGUACCUGGAGGAAGAGAAAGAAAAAUCGAUUUCCUGAGUAGCGGCGAGCGAAACGGAAAGAGCCCAAACCAAGAAGCUUGCUUCUUGGGGUUGUAGGACACUCUAUACGGAGUUACAAAAGAAAGUUAUAAAUGAAGCGGUCUGGAAAGGCCCGCCAAAGACGGUAACAGCCCGGUAGUUGAAAUGGCUUUCCCUCCAGAGUGGAUCCUGAGUACGGCGGAACACGUGAAAUUCCGUCGGAAUCCGGGAGGACCAUCUCCCAAGGCUAAAUACUCCCUAGUGACCGAUAGUGAACCAGUACCGUGAGGGAAAGGUGAAAAGCACCCCGGAAGGGGAGUGAAACAGUUCCUGAAACCGUGUGCCUACAAGUAGUUAGAGCCCGUUAAUGGGUGAUAGCGUGCCUUUUGUAGAAUGAACCGGCGAGUUACGAUUUGUUGCAAGGUUAAGCGGAAAAAGCGGAGCCGUAGCGAAAGCGAGUCUGAAUAGGGCGCAUAAGUAACAGGUCGUAGACCCGAAACCAGGUGAUCUACCCAUGUCCAGGAUGAAGGUAAGGUAAUACUUACUGGAGGUCCGAACCCACGCACGUUGAAAAGUGCGGGGAUGAGGUGUGGGUAGCGGAGAAAUUCCAAUCGAACUUGGAGAUAGCUGGUUCUCUCCGAAAUAGCUUUAGGGCUAGCCUCGAGGUAAAGAGUCAUGGAGGUAGAGCACUGUUUGGACUAGGGGCCCUUCUCGGGUUACCGAAUUCAGAUAAACUCCGAAUGCCAUGUACUUAUACUCGGGAGUCAGACUGCGAGUGAUAAGAUCC
rnacentral:rRNA from 1 species